AUGGAUUAUAUCACCUUUCCUCAAUCUCCUACUUUCUAUUAGACCCUAUAUUGAAGUAUAUAUAUGAGCACUAGAACUAGAGUCCAAUACCCAACUAGAAGUAGAAAAAAUUGUUAGGUUAGAUUUAAUUUCGAGCAAACUAGACAUACCUUCCAAAGGUGUGUCAUCCUUCUUGGUCUUCAGGCUUUCCAAGUAUAGUG
rnacentral:lncRNA from 1 species